CAGCAGCCACGGGAAUACGGAGGGUGCAAGCGUUAUCCGGAUUUAUUGGGUUUAAAGGGUCCGUAGGCGGACUUAUAAGUCAGUGGUGAAAGCCUGUCGCUUAACGAUAGAACUGCCAUUGAUACUGUAAGUCUUGAGUAUAUUUGAGGUAGCUGGAAUAAGUAGUGUAGCGGUGAAAUGCAUAGAUAUUACUUAGAACACCAAUUGCGAAGGCAGGUUACCAAGAUAUAACUGACGCUGAGGGACGAAAGCAUGGGGAGCAAACAGGAUUAGAUACCCCGGUAGUCCCUGUCUCUUAUAC
rnacentral:rRNA from 1 species